GUAGGUGGCAAGCGUUGUCCGGAAUUAUUGGGCGUAAAGCGCGCGCAGGCGGUCCUUUAAGUCUGAUGUGAAAGCCCACGGCUCAACCGUGGAGGGUCAUUGGAAACUGGGGGACUUGAGUACAGAAGAGGAAAGCGGAAUUCCAAGUGUAGCGGUGAAAUGCGUAGAGAUUUGGAGGAACACCAGUGGCGAAGGCGGCUUUCUGGUCUGUAACUGACGCUGAGGCGCGAAUGCGUGGGGAGCAAACAGGGAUUAGAUACCCUGGUAGUCCACGCCGUAAAUGAUGAGUGCUAAGUGUUAGGGGGUUUCCGCCCCCUUAGUGCUGCAGCUAACGCAUUAAGCACUCCGCCUGGGGAGUACGGCCGCAAGGCUG
rnacentral:rRNA from 1 species